CACCACAUAUGUCAACCAAUUCCCAAAAAAAAACCAAAAUUCAGCAAAUUUAUCUGUGAACAUGAUUUUAGGCAUUUGCAGCACGUAGCUGACAACCGAAAUCAGGAGAGUAAAUAAAUAAAAUAUUUAUAUACGUAGGGAUAUACGGAGCCCCUCCACAGCCCACAGAAUCAAACGCCAGCCGGAAUUGACUAGGACGUUUCCUAAAUGAUUUCUUCCUGGUUAUGUCAACAGGGAUUCGCCGGCCUCCCUAAUUGCCAAGUAUUCAUCACACGUGCGUCCAUGCGAGUAAACGUGACAGAUGCCUGGCCAUUUAUGUACAAGGAGUUUAAUCGAAAAGCAGGGGAAAUAAGGAGAAACCUUGCUGGGUUUUUGACGGGCCACCAAUCGUAAUGCUUUUUCCUUGCUCAAUCUUUGGGGAAAGACCAAGGACAAGGAGGUGAAAUGAAAUAAAAACGGGUGGCUAGCAUAGUGGAAAGAUUUUAGCCCAGUUGCUUGCCAGAAAAGUAGAAACGGAGCUCCAGGAGAAGAUUGCUCCUGCUAGCAUUUAGAUAACUUGGCAAGUAUCUCGACUCAAACGUUGAAUUAUGGGCAAGAACUUGGGCUUGGGAUCCGGUUCCUAGGAUAUCUGCAAUAUAUUUGCCAUUAUCCGAUGAGCAGCUGGGUCAAAAUGCAUUCAUUUAUAGAUGUCAGGGAAAAAUCGACAGAGCUUGGGAUAAUCCCCCUCGAGGAGACUCAGACUCUGACUCCGCCGUCCACUCCACGACCUAUUUGAUUCCGGGUAAGCGGCUUAUCCGGAAAACAGCAAAUGGGAUGAUGUACGACCAAGUGGAGCUCAUAAACUUUGCGGGCGUCGCUGCAAAUCCAUUUGCAACCUUGUUUACGCUGCGUAUGGGUAACAAAUCAACGGAGCGACUAGCACGGCGCACUACUCGGUAUUACAGAGUGCAACCGCAAGCAAAAUGCCUGAUUGGCAACAUAAAUCAGAGAGGACAGGCACUGCCGCAGCCGCAGCCACAACACCUGCCCCGCCCCCUUUUCGUUACGCCCCAAUCCGCCUGACAGCCCGACAGUUGCAAUGCCCGCAAAAUAGUAUCCCAAAAAAACCCCCGAAAAACAACAAGAAAGGCGAGCGGGCAUCAUAUACCAAAGCAUGAAAUA